rnacentral:rRNA from 1 species
UAGGGAAUCUUCGGCAAUGGACGAAAGUCUGACCGAGCAACGCCGCGUGAGUGAAGAAGGUUUUCGGAUCGUAAAACUCUGUUGUUAGAGAAGAACAAGGACGUUAGUAACUGAACGUCCCCUGACGGUAUCUAACCAGAAAGCCACGGCUAACUACGUGCCAGCAGCCGCGGUAAUACGUAGGUGGCAAGCGUUGUCCGGAUUUAUUGGGCGUAAAGCGAGCGCAGGCGGUUUCUUAAGUCGGAUGUGAAAGCCCCCGGCUCAACCGGGGAGGGUCAUUGGAAACUGGGAGACUUAAGUGCAGAAGAGGAGAGUGGAAUUCCAUGUGUAGCGGUGAAAGGCGUAGAUAUAUGGAGGAACACCAGUGGCGAAGGCGGCUCUCUGGUCUGUAACUGACGCUGAGGCUCGAAAGCGUGGGGAGCAAACAGG